rnacentral:lncRNA from 1 species
AUGAUGGGUGAGAAAGCUGAGAAGCCAGAUACUAAAGAGAAGAAACCUAAGGCCAAGAAAGCUGAUGUUGGUGGCAAGGUGAAAAGGGGCAACCUCAAGGCUAAAACGUCUAAGACAGGGAAGCCCCAUUGCAGCUGCAAUCCUGUCCUUGUCAGAGGAAUUGCAGAUAUUCCCGAUCUGCUAUGUAUUCCAGAAAGACCACGUCCAGGAAGAAGUACUCAGCUGCUAAAUCCAAGGUUGAAAAGAAAAAGAAGUUUCUUGCAACUGUUACAAAACCAGUUGGUGUUGACAAGAACAGUGGUACCCAGGUGGUUAAACUUCACAAAAUGCCUAGAUAUUACCCUACUGAAGAUGUGCCUCUAAAGCUGUUGAGCCAUGGCAAAAGAAACCCUUCAGUCAGCAUGUGAGAAAACUGCGAUCCAGCAUCACCUCCAGGACGAUUCUGAUCAUCACCACUGGGCGCCACAGAGGCGAGGGUGGUUUUCCUGAAGCAGCUGGUCUUGGGACUGGACCUCUGGUCCUCAAUCAAGUUCCUCUACGAAGAACACACCAGAAAUUUGUCAUUGCUACCUCAACCAAAAUUGGUAGCAGCAAUGUAAAAAUUGCAAAACGUCUUACUGGUGCUUACUUUAAGAAGGUGUGGAAGCCUAAACACCAGGAAGGUGAGACCUUUGACACAGAAAAAGAGAAAUAGAUUACAGAGCAGCGCAAGACUUAUCAGAAAGCUGUGGACUCACAUGUUUUAGAAAAAAAUCAAAGCUUUCCUCAGCUCCAGGGCUACCUGUGAUCUGUGUCUGCCCUAACGAAUGGAAUUUAUCCUCACAAAUUGGUGUUCUGA